rnacentral:rRNA from 1 species
GACGAACUUUGGCGGCGUGCUUAACACAUGCAAGUCGAACGGAAAGGCCCUGCUUUUGUGGGGUGCUCGAGUGGCGAACGGGUGAGUAACACGUGAGUAACCUGCCCUUGACUUUGGGAUAACUUCAGGAAACUGGGGCUAAUACCGGAUAGGAGCUCCUGCUGCAUGGUGGGGGUUGGAAAGUUUCGGCGGUUGGGGAUGGACUCGCGGCUUAUCAGCUUGUUGGUGGGGUAGUGGCUUACCAAGGCUUUGACGGGUAGCCGGCCUGAGAGGGUGACCGGCCACAUUGGGACUGAGAUACGGCCCAGACUCCUACGGGAGGCAGCAGUGGGGAAUAUUGCACAAUGGGCGGAAGCCUGAUGCAGCAACGCCGCGUGCGGGAUGACGGCCUUCGGGUUGUAAACCGCUUUCGCCUGUGACGAAGCGUGAGUGACGGUAAUGGGUAAAGAAGCACCGGCUAACUACGUGCCAGCAGCCGCGGUGAUACGUAGGGUGCGAGCGUUGUCCGGAUUUAUUGGGCGUAAAGGGCUCAUAGGUGGUUGAUCGCGUCGGAAGUGUAAUCUUGGGGCUUAACCCUGAGCGUGCUUUCGAUACGGGUUGACUUGAGGAAGGUAGGGGAGAAUGGAAUUCCUGGUGGAGCGGUGGAAUGCGCAGAUAUCAGGAGGAACACCAGUGGCGAAGGCGGUUCUCUGGGCCUUUCCUGACGCUGAGGAGCGAAAGCGUGGGGAGCGAACAGGCUUAGAUACCCUGGUAGUCCACGCUGUAAACGGUGGGUACUAGGUGUGGGGUCCAUUCCACGGGUUCCGUGCCGUAGCUAACGCUUUAAGUACCCCGCCUGGGGAGUACGGCCGCAAGGCUAAAACUCAAAGGAAUUGACGGGGCCCCGCACAAGCGGCGGAGCAUGCGGAUUAAUUCGAUGCAACGCGUAGAACCUUACCUGGGUUUGACAUGGAUCGGGAGUGCUCAGAGAUGGGUGUGCCUCUUUUGGGGUCGGUUCACAGGUGGUGCAUGGCUGUCGUCAGCUCGUGUCGUGAGAUGUUGGGUUAAGUCCCGCAACGAGCGCAACCCUUGUUCACUGUUGCCAGCACGUUAUGGUGGGGACUCAGUGGAGACCGCCGGGGUCAACUCGGAGGAAGGUGGGGAUGACGUCAAGUCAUCAUGCCCCUUAUGUCCAGGGCUUCACGCAUGCUACAAUGGCUGGUACAGAGAGUGGCGAGCCUGUGAGGGUGAGCGAAUCUCGGAAAGCCGGUCUCAGUUCGGAUUGGGGUCUGCAACUCGACCUCAUGAAGUCGGAGUCGCUAGUAAUCGCAGAUCAGCAACGCUGCGGUGAAUACGUUCCCGGGGCU